ACUGUGCCUUCGGGAGCCGUGAGACAGGUGCUGCAUGGCUGUCGUCAGCUCGUGUUGUGAAAUGUUGGGUUAAGUCCCGCAACGAGCGCAACCCUUAUCCUUUGUUGCCAGCGGUCCGGCCGGGAACUCAAAGGAGACUGCCAGUGAUAAACUGGAGGAAGGUGGGGAUGACGUCAAGUCAUCAUGGCCCUUACGACCAGGGCUACACACGUGCUACAAUGGCGCAUACAAAGAGAAGCGACCUCGCGAGAGCAAGCGGACCUCAUAAAGUGCGUCGUAGUCCGGAUUGGAGUCUGCAACUCGACUCCAUGAAGUCGGAAUCGCUAGUAAUCGUGGAUCAGAAUGCCACGGUGAAUACGUUCCCGGGCCUUGUACACACCGCCCGUCACACCAUGGGAGUGGGUUGCAAAAGAAGUAGGUAGCUUAACCUUCGGGAGGGCGCUUACCACUUUGUGAUUCAUGACUGGGGUGAAGUCGUAACAAGGUAACCGUAGGGGAACCUGC
rnacentral:rRNA from 1 species